rfam:Pseudomonas sp. VI4.1 NODE_29_length_73435_cov_21.4595, whole genome shotgun sequence.
CUUUAUGGUAGCUGUGCGCAGGGCGCCCUCGGGCGCGCCGGAAUCGUCUCCGCCGGUCUGCUAACCUGCACACAGCUGCCACCAUU